UGGGGAAUCUUAGACAAUGGGCGCAAGCCUGAUCUAGCCAUGCCGCGUGAGCGAUGAAGGCCUUAGGGUUGUAAAGCUCUUUCAGUGGGGAAGAUAAUGACUGUACCCACAGAAGAAGCCCCGGCUAACUCCGUGCCAGCAGCCGCGGUAAUACGGAGGGGGCUAGCGUUGUUCGGAAUUACUGGGCGUAAAGCGCACGUAGGCGGACUGGAAAGUCAGGGGUGAAAUCCCGGGGCUCAACCCCGGAACUGCCUUUGAAACUCCCGGUCUUGAGGUCGAGAGAGGUGAGUGGAAUUCCGAGUGUAGAGGUGAAAUUCGUAGAUAUUCGGAGGAACACCAGUGGCGAAGGCGGCUCACUGGCUCGAUACUGACGCUGAGGUGCGAAAGCGUGGGGAGCAAACA
rnacentral:rRNA from 1 species